rnacentral:lncRNA from 1 species
UGGGUAAGUCAGCUGAAUCUUUGAUCCUGAGGUUCAGAAUCUGCAAAAUAGAUAAACUCCUCUCUGUUUUACCUACUUCCAGUGGUAUCUUUGAUAAUUCAGGGAUAAUUACUCUGAAUCUACCAGGCUGAUUAAGCCACAGCAGAUCAGCAGAAUUCAACUGUCCAGAUAGAAAGGUGGACAUGGAAAAAUUGGGCUUUGCAAAUGGUCACCCAAUUCUUGCCUUCCUGGUCUCCAGAUCACCCUUCCUAUACCGCCACUCUGGAGAAAGAAGUACAGAACGCUAACAAGCUAGAUACAGAGGACCUAACAUACAACUCAGAGUCCCUAGAAGAUGGAGAAAACACAGACAAUUGGCAGAGGAGAUGAGCAUGUGAUUAUUGUUACCACUUGUCUGGAAGCAACCAGAAUGGAGUGGGGAAGACUCAAGGAGGAGAUCUUCACAGGACUCACCUCUCAUCACAGCUCCCGUGUGGUUGUAAUCACCCCAGAGGGAAAAAUAAUUUCGGUUUUUUAUGGUUUAAUUAUUGGUGAUAGCAGCUGUUUUGAAGACACAAACACAGAAGCAAGUUCUAGAACAUACUCACAGUUUCCUUGGUCACAGUGUUGUCAGUGGUUCUAUAAAGGUCUUAUGAAUCUCUACUUAGUUGACCACAAGUAGUAAGCAAGAAACAAUCCUGUAAAGAGAAUGGAGGUCAGAAUAAAGAAGCCUUGAGGGUUUAAAUCGCUUCUUGAAAAGAAAUGCCCGUGUGUCAAGGAGCUAAGGGAGACCAGCCCAGGAGGAGCUGAAUCCUGCCAACAAUCACUUGAGUGAACUUGAGAGUGAAUCCUCUCCAUGUUAAGCCUUGAGGUGAUUGUAGCUCCAUCAAAUACCUUCAUUGUAGCCUUGUGAGAGAUCUGAGUCAGAGGAUGGAGUUAAGCCAAGCCCAGAUUCCAGACCCUCAGAAACUUGAAAGCGGAAUACCUGGUUAUCCGGAGGUCACUGUCUCCACACAGAGUGGUGUCCUUGAUGCUAGCUUGGGGCAAAGAAGCCAGGCCAGCUUGUGGUUGCAAUAGGAAUAGAAGAGACUUCCUUACUCCAAUCCCACCCUACCCCCUCAUCCUGCCUCAACCAGUCAUGCAGAGAGAUGCUGAAUGGCUGCCUGCUCUCAGGGGAAUGAUUUGUGGAGGUUUAAUUAAAAUAAUUUAAUCAAUCAAAUCCAACAAAUAUUCGCUGAGUACCUACCAUAGUUAAG